rnacentral:rRNA from 1 species
UACGUAGGGUGCGAGCGUUAAUCGGAAUUACUGGGCGUAAAGCGUGCGCAGGCGGUUUUGUAAGCCAGAUGUGAAAUCCCCGGGCUUAACCUGGGAAUGGCAUUUGGGACUGCAAGGCUGGAGUGCGGCAGAGGAGACUGGAAUUCCUGGUGUAGCAGUGAAAUGCGUAGAUAUCAGGAGGAAUACCGAUGGCGAAGGCAGGUCUCUGGGCUGACACUGACGCUCAUGCACGAAAGCGUGGGAGCAACAGG